rnacentral:rRNA from 1 species
AGUGAACGCUGGCGGUAGGCCUAACACAUGCGAGUCGAACGGCAGCACAGUAAGAGCUUGCUCUUACGGGUGGCGAGAGGCGGACGGGUGAGGAAUACAUCGGAAUCUACUUUUUCGUGGGGGAUAACGUAGGGAAACUUACGCUAAUACCGCAUACGACCUACGGGUGAAAGCAGGGGAUCUUCGGACCUUGCGCGAUUGAAUGAGCCGAUGUCGGAUUAGCUAGUUGGCGGGGUAAAGGCCCACCAAGGCGACGAUCCGUAGCUGGUCUGAGAGGAUGAUCAGCCACACUGGAACUGAGACACGGUCCAGACUCCUACGGGAGGCAGCAGUGGGGAAUAUUGGACAAUGGGCGCAAGCCUGAUCCAGCCAUACCGCGUGGGUGAAGAAGGCCUUCGGGUUGUAAAGCCCUUUUGUUGGGAAAGAAAAGCAGCAGGUUAAUACCCCGCUGUUCUGACGGUACCCAAAGAAUAAGCACCGGCUAACUUCGUG